UCCCAGCUGGCUCAGUGGUAAAGAAUUUGCCUGCAACGCAAGAGACUCAGGUUCGAUCCCCAGGUCGGGAA
rnacentral:tRNA from 1 species